AAUCUAAUAGAACUUGGGAAUGAGGGCAGACGCAGAUGAUGAAAUCCAAAAUCCGAAAAAAAAAAUCAAAAAAAUUUAUUGGCAGGGGAAGAGAGAAGGCGCAAGCGUGUGUGCGGGAGACCGGGGGGCCGGAAACGGGCUUCUUUAUAGUGCAGUCAAAUGAGAGAAUCGAACAGCCAUUUCGUGUUCGGCCCCUUGGCUGAUUUAUUAUUGCCAAAAACACAUUUUAAAGUCUUUCAAAGCUCGCCCUCGCCCUCGCCCUCGCCCUCGUUCGUCAUCGUCACACGCGACCGCAAGCGCAUUGUUAUUUUGUUCCUUUUUUAAAAGUGUUCUCUCUUCUGCUUAGAUUUUUUUAUGUAACGUGUCAGAAUUUUCAAGUAAAAAAUGUAUUUUUUUAUAUUAAAUAGUUUAGGUAGAGCGUUUGUUAUUUCAAUUACGACAACUGACCAAAAAAACGUAACAUAAAAUUUUGCAUCGCAUCCCCGUGCGUCGGUGAUGGUUAGAGACUUAAAUUAUUUAAUAACGUUAGCUACAACAUAAUGAUUAUUAGAGCAAAUGGGUUUCUCCGACAAAUACAAAAAUUGGAAAUAGCAUUUGAUAAUGGUUUUAUCUCGAAUAUAUUUGUCGGAGCAAGUAAGCAUUUGUGAUAUUCCUUCAAAGUAUAUUCUAGUUUGGGUUUUGAUUCCGUAAUUUAAUUCUUCUAUGUAAUUUUUUUUUUAAAUUCGUGAGAAAUUGGGGAUUGGCGAUGUUGUGAUAUUUUCAGCAAAGGAAACUAAUAAGAGAAUAUUAUGAAAUUGAUAAUAAUAAGGUGGAUGCAGAAAAUGACUCCUAACCAAAAGAGAUUAGUUUGUUCAAAGAAUUGAAGUCCAAGGCGUACGCCAGAGUCCAGUUUCUUGGGUCAAUGAUUAGGAAAAUGAUAUUACACCCAAAAUCCCUUUUAUAUGCUAUAACGAAUGAUUAAAAAAAGGAUUAGGAGAAGUGCCAUUUAAUUUAUUAGAAAAGGAAACCUGACACGACAACACGUAACAUAAACAUGACACCCCAAAUCUUAGAAAUAAAAGCGAACAAUUAAAGCUAAUAGAUCCAUGCACCUUCUUAAAUAUCACAUCCACUCGUCAUUGCCAACCAACA